AGCAGAGAGAAGGGCUAGGGAUGGGAGAAGAGGGGAGAGGACGCUUAGGACAAGUAUUAGGUGCGUUAAAAAGCACUAGAUGAGGAGCGGGACGAGCCAGUUGGGGCCGCGUUCUGUCAUCAGUCAGCUGGUUGAUAUGUGACUUUGAGGCAAUCCCUUCCCCUCCCUAUGUCUGUUUUCUCAUUUGUAAUUUGUGAAUAAUACUUAUUCCACCCACCACAUGGGACUCUAAUGAGGAUAAUGAAUGAAUGUGCAAGUACUUUGAUAAAUGUCAAUCCCCGCAAGCAUGUUAAAGUGUUGGCUUGAAGAUCAUUUCAUUGUUUACCCAGUUGACUCCAUCUUCUUGAGGGAAUAUCUCCUGAAAGUGUCAGACUCCUGUGGGAGAGAACUGAGACAUACCACUGAAGUGCUAACAAGACCUUGGUGCUGAAGGGAAGGAGGUUGUAUUAUGAAGUAACACUCCCUGGAGGCAGAAGUAGAGCUGUGCGGGGCAGGGGAACUUGGAAGGUGAACACUAUUCCCCCUUGGCAUAGGGAGGGGCCAGGGCACCUCCUGUUAUGUGUGGAGAUCACAAAGUGGCAAGAGGAGUAAAGUGAUUAUUGUGAUUAGCCUCUCAAGUUCCGUAGGAAAUAAAGGAUCUCGUCCAGUGGAGGAGGGCUCUUCACAUUUCUUAGAGAUUGUUUUUUUCCUAAUUCUUCUGCUCACUUCUCCAGGGUAGAAGGGGAUGUAAGGACGUAGAGUGAAUCCUCUUUUUACUAAAACAGAUUACAUAUUACAGGGCUUAAUACGUGUGAAAUAAUUAACCCAGAUCUAGAUAUUGAUUGGGCAGCUGGAAAAGGAGAGAAUUCAGGAGGAGGUCGGAGUUAGAGAUGCUGGCUGAGAAGUUCCCAUUUGAGUGAGGAAUGGGAGGGCAGAGAAUAGAGCAUGGAAAACACCUCCAUUUAGGAGCAGAGGCAAGAAGGGGAGAAAGAAGGAAUUGUCAGAAAAAUAAGAGAACCUUGAGAAUGGAGUGUUUUGAGGUACAAGGGAAGAGAGAUGUCAAGAAGCGGUCUGUAGUGUCAGACACUGAAGUGAGGAUGAGCAUUGGGAAAAGGCCAUUGGAUUUGCCCCAAGGGCAGUCACAUGACCUUGGAGCACUUGGAGAGAGUGUGAAAAGUAAAACCUGGUUGCACAGAGUUAAGGCGUAAGUGGUCAGUAAGGAAACAGAGAUGGGGGUGUGCACUGUUUUCUGAAGAAGGACUGAAAUAAGGUAGAGCAGGGUAGAUGAAAAGUGGGCUUGAGUUAUCAGGGAGGGCUUCAUGGAAAGUGGUGAACGUUCUCUUAGUCCUGGAAGGGUAGGUUGGGUUGAAUUUAAAUAGGUGGAGAGAAAGGGCAGGAGAGUCCAUAACCAUGUCUCAUUCUUUUUGGUAUCCCUGUAACUCCACCGUUCCCAGUAUGGGGUAUUGAAUGAUCCCUGCAGCUACACAGUGAAUGUUUUUGGGGAAUGUUGUGUAGGUCAGACAGGCUGGAAUAGAGGGUUUAGGCUGAGGAAUAGAGGAGAGUUAGAUUUUAAAGAGAGAUUUGGGCCACAUUAUAGAAGACCGUACAUGACUUGUCCAGGGAGAUGCCAUUCUAGGCAGUACCCUAUCCAAUGGCUAGUGGCUAGAUAUGGGAGAUUUGAGUAGAAGAAUGGCAUAGCAGAGCAAAUAUUUUAGAAUGACCUGAACAAUUGGGGUAUGCAGGAUGGAUUGAGAGGACAAAAGGUUCAAACUGGAGUAGGCCAAAAAAAAAAAAAAAUUGGAGUAUGCAAAGCCAUAGAAUUAAAUUAGCUCGUUUCUCUAGAGAAUUUGGUUUGAUUUGGGUGAGGUAGGAAAAUAUACAAAUACAAAUAUGUAAGUAUGGUAGAAUACAAUAUUUGAAUAGUUUAAGACAAACGUAAGACUCUUCUGAAGGAAUUUUACGUUCAUAGUGCCCCACCCCCUCCCAGCCUGGAUGCCUCUGGGUUUUGCAUUCACUCUCCAGUGCCUACAGGAGUACUUUGUAGGCAGCGUUUGAGAGGCACUGAAUUAGAUCAUAAAAAUUCAGGCGUGAAGGGGGUGACAUGGUUGCAUAAGGCAUUCCUUCUUUAAUCUCCCUUUUUAACCGACAGUUUAGACAUCUAAACAUGAACAAAGGUGCUUUGGUGGGUCUUUUGGGAGACCCAAGAGAAGACUCACCCACCACUGCAACUGGUAAGAGACAGACACACCUCCGUAUAGGCAAGGAACCAAUAGAGCCAGCAAAACUGCCUAUACCCCUCUCACUGCUGUAGGGCAAAAAUCAGGUGAGUGCUGCCCUGGGCAGUUACUCACACACAGAACUUGCAGAAGUCCAGCCUUCCCGAAGGGAGACUCUGGCACACCGUUGGAGAAAAAGAAAAAUACGAGUUUGCUUGCAGCCGAGGUGUGUGUCCAUGAGAGCGAGCUCUGCUAGACCAGGAGCCCACUCAAAACAGGUCCUGUUGAUGGGCAGGGAAGAAACCACAAACUUGGUUUCCACCUUCUGGGGAAAAAAGGUGUGCAGCCAACCUGGUGAAUUGUAAGAAUCAGAGAAGACACAAAAGCUUAAAAAUUUGGCUACAAGACACAGCAAGAAGAGUGGAGCACAAACACAUAGGAAAAACCGAGAUAAUAUCAAAACCAUAGAACAUAAUACCCCAUCUGCUGACGGUAAUGAGCACAGAGUUUAGGACGUAUCCGCUACUUCAGAUUCAAAAGCACCAGCAUGUACCAGGAAUAUGGAAAAUCAAGGAAAUAUGGCAUCACAAAAAGAAAAUGACAGUUCUCUAGCAACCGUGCUCAAAGGCACAGAAUAUUAUGAUCUGACUGACAAAGAAUUCAGAAUAGCAGUUAUAAAGAAACUCAAUGAAUUUUACAAGAAGACUCAGGCAACUCAGUAAAAUCAGGAAUAAAAUAUGUUAACAUAAUGACUUCUUUUCAAAGAGAUUGAAAUUUUAAAAAACAAAACAAAUCGUAGAGCUGAAGAAGUCAGUGGAUGAGAUGAAGAAUGCAAUAGAGAGCAGCUAUAGCAGGGGAGACCAUAUGGAAGAAAGAAUAAGUGACUUCGGGAGAAAGGAAUUUUGAAAUAACACAGAAGAGAUGAAAGAACAGAAAUUUUAAAAGAGCAAAGCAAGCUUAUGUGAGUUAUGAGAUUGAAACAAGAAAGCACAAAUAUCAGAAUAAUUGGGCUUCUAGAAGGAGAAGGGGACAAAGAGUUUAAGAAAUAAUAGCUGAGAACUUUCCAAACCCAGGGAAAGUCUUGGACAUACAUGUCCAUGAAGCUAAUAGAUCACCCUAUAAUCUCAAUGCAAAAAAGACGUUCUCCAAGACACAUUAUAAUGAAACUGUCAAAAAUCAAUGAUAAAGAAUCUUAAAAGCAGCCAGGGAAAACAAGAAUGUAACCUACAAAGGAACCCCUAUUAGGCUCUCAGCAGAUUUCCUA